ACAUAAACAUGUCGAUCAGACUCUGAUGUUCAGAUUCUAACCUGAUCAGUUAUCAGUCUGGGGCCAUUUUCAACAAACAUCCUAAGGCUAAAAGUAGCUCCAAAAUAGGUGGUAGUCCACAAAACAGACAGAGGAAGUCCAGAAACAAGAAAGAGGUAGUCCAGAUAGAAGGAAGUUAGGUUUAGUCCAGAAAGGAGAGAGUUAUAGGUAAUCCAGACAGAAGGAAUUUAGAGAUAAAAGGAAGUUAGAGGUAGGCAUGAAAGAAAGAAGUCAGAGGUAGCCCCCAAAAAAGGGAGUUAGAGGUAGUCCAGAAAGAAGGAAGUUAGAAGUAGUCCUGAAAGAAGAGGUAGUUCAGAAAAAAGGGAGUUGGAGGUAGUCCAGAAAGAAGAGAGUUAAAGGUAGUCCAGAAAAAAAGGGAGUUGGAGGUAGUCCAGAAAGAAGAGAGUUAAAGGUAGUCCAGAAAGAAGGGAGUUAGAGGUAGGCCUGAAAGAAGAGGUAGGCCUGAAAGAAGUGGUAGUUCAGAAAGAAGGAAGUUAAAGGUAGUCCAGAUAGAAGGAAGUUAAAGGUAGUCCAGAAAGAAGGAAGUUAAAGGUAGUUCAGAAAGAAGGGAGUUAGAGGUAGGCCUGAAAGAAGUGGUAGUUCAGAAAGAAGGAAGUUAAAGGUAGUCCAGAAAGAAGGAAGUUAAAGGUAGUUCAGAAAGAAGGAAGUUAAAGGUAGUUCAGAAAGAAGGAAGUUAAAGGUAGUCCAGAAAGAAGGAAGUUAGAAGUAGUCCUGAAAGAAGAGGUAGUUCAGAAAAAAGGGAGUUGGAGGUAGUCCAGAAAGAAGAGAGUUAAAGGUAGUCCAGAAAGAAGGGAGUUAGAGGUAGGCCUGAAAGAAGAGGUAGGCCUGAAAGAAGUGGUAGUUCAGAAAGAAGGAAGUUAAAGGUAGUCCAGAUAGAAGGAAGUUAAAGGUAGUCCAGAAAGAAGGAAGUUAAAGGUAGUUCAGAAAGAAGGGAGUUAGAGGUAGGCCUGAAAGAAGUGGUAGUUCAGAAAGAAGGAAGUUAAAGGUAGUCCAGAAAGAAGGAAGUUAAAGGUAGUUCAGAAAGAAGGAAGUUAAAGGUAGUUCAGAAAGAAGGAAGUUAAAGGUAGUUCAGAAAGAAGGAAGUUAAAGGUAGUUCAGAAAGAAGGGAGUUAGAG